GGCUAAUCUCAUCACCCGUGUCUCUUUGCCACGGAGGGUCACCAGGGUUGUUUUCCCCGUGCCAUCUCAGCAGCACUGCGAGGAAGGAUCAGAACGAUCAUGCAUUUAAGUAUGGUGUCGCAGAAACAUGAGUCACCUUGAUGUGUUUGCUGCAGCCACUCGAGGAGUCCGAUUCGCCGAGCAGAGCCAGGCGGCCCGUGGUGAUAUUAGGGACAGCCUACGUAACGGGAUAAAAACAGAUGAAAAGCUUCCGCCGUUCGUAAUAAUCCUGUCCUCAAACGACAGCGGGGGGAAACGAACCCGGCGUACCGAGCGAACCCUGCUAUACCCUGAUGCCGCCGCGUUCACUUUCGCACACUGGGAUCGGCGACGGAGGCGUCGCCUGCCGCGUUCGAUUUCGCGUUCACCGGCGUGCUGACGAGCGUACCCUGGGAAACGGCGUACCUCAGCAAGACGCCGGUCAACGCGAAAGUGAACGCGGCAGCGGCAGCGGCGUGCGGCGCGCAACGGUGCACCCGGUGAACCGCGCAAGGACUUCCUCGUUUAAAGGAACCCGGGCGCCCUCGAACAACUGCGACACAAAACCCCGCCGAAGCGUUCAAGUUUCGACCCGUUUCAUCGUUCCAGUGCCUUGGGGACAAGUUCACGGACUUUCUCUACUCCGGGCGAGGAAACGACAACAACAGGGACAUCGAGGCAACGGUGACGAACGGAGGCAGCACGUAGAAUCUCACCACCACCACCACCACCGCUGCCUCCCCACCACCACCACCACCCACCACCACCGCUGCCUCCUCCACCACCACCACCUCCACCACCACCACCACCACCACCUCCACCGCGGGUGCUGGUGCUGCUGCUGCUGUCAAACGUCUCUUAUCCAAGUGUGAGGCUGGGCUGCUGCUCCUGUGGUAAGCCCCCCAUUCGCGGCCCGCUGUUCCAUGCUUUUGAUUAUUCCUCUGGUUUUAUGCAUGAGAUGUCGCACCUUCACCUUGUAGAAGGCGUGCAGUGUUGGGGGGGGUGGGGAUGAUUGUUGGGGGGGUUGUGGAGCUGGUGGUGGUAGUGGUGCUGGUGAAGGGUGAUAGACUAGUAUAGGUGGUGGUGGUGGUGGUGGUAUUAAGGGUGAUAGACUAGUAUAAGUGGUGGUGGUGGUGGUAUUAAGGGUGAUAGACUAGUAUAGGUGGUGGUGGUGGUGGUGGUGGUAUUAAGGGUGAUAGACUAGUAUUAGUGGCGGUGGUGGUGGUGGUAUUAAGGGUGAUAGACUAGUAUAAGUGGUGGUGGUGGUGGUGGUGGUAGUAUUAAGGGUGAUAGACUAGUAUAAGUGGUGGUGGUGGUGGUGGUGGUAGUAUUAAGGGUGAUAGACUAGUAUAAGUGGUGGUGGUGGUGGUGGUGGUAGUAUUAAGGGUGAUAGACUAGUAUAAGUGUUGGUGGUGGUGGUAGUAUUAAGGGUGAUAUACUGGUAUAAGUGGUGGUGGUGGUGGUGGUUGUAGUAUGAGUGGUGGUGGGGGUACUAAUAGUAGCGAUGGGGGUAGAAGUAUAGUAUAGUAGUGUUGGAGGUUUCUGAGCACAUCAUUGAAGUUAAAACACACACACACACGCAAACACACACGCAAACACACACACACACACACACACACACACACACACACACACACACACACACACACACACACGCACACACCUAGAGCUAUUUGAGCAGGAGGAAAACACAAUAUUGUCCGCAAAUUCCCAAAUGUUUCUCUUGUAGCAGGCUCACUGCACACUGCAGUGCCGUUUCCCUCUGGCUCUGCUGAAUAUUCGUAUUCAUUGCUCCAUAAAUUUUUUUUAUUAUCCGGGCCUUGCUUUGGAUCUAGUAGUUAUUUUCUAAGUCCCAGGCCAAAUUCAGAUUCAAAUUCCAACCGAUUCUUAACAUUCCAAUGAAUUCUUCUAUUCUGUGAUUAUUACUUAUAGACUACCUAUACUAUUCCACACAUGGAAUAGUCUUAAUGGUGGCAAAAUGUGUUAGGCUUAAUUUGGUGGUUUGCGACUGUUUAUAUGUUUGCCAUGUAUUGUUUUUUGCCAACUUUUAUUAGAUAAAAAAAUAUUUACUUCAUGAUUUCCUUUUUUUACUAUAAGGUUGAACAAUUUAGAGCUAUUUGUGGAAUAACCUUGAAUAUAAAUGUGUUUGAAUAUACCCUAUGUACCUUUUAGUAUCCUUGACCAAAAGUUUUGUUUUAAAAGAUGCAAGUUUUUUUCUAAACCCUUGGCCCGAUGACAUUACUCGCCUGAAAUGGCGGCAUCCGCCAUUUUGAUUUUGCUGCCCCUAUCAAUCGGACCGAAUAAAUCAUUUAGAAACAGUCAAACAAAUGUAUUUUUUUAAUAUCCACCAGUUUCUUAUUUUUAACGUUCUGCAGACACAAAUAAUCCAACCUCCUCUUCAAGGAAAAAAAAACCUCAGAAGAAGUGUCAAAACAAUACAAUAAAAAAUUAUCAUACUGUUUACAAUUGAUUUAUUGCAUUCAAACGCAGACUCUAAUUUGAGGGUCGAUGAAUGACAGUAAAUAACGUAUAAUUGCAGCAGUAUCCCAUGCAAAAUCCCUGGCCAAUCCGGCUUAGGUCGCAUGAGCAAUGCAGAAGAAAAAAAAGCCGUAUCCUCAAUUGAACCCUUUGUCGUGUCAAAUGUGACAAGAGCCCCCAGAAUAAUUAUUUAAAACAAACGAUAUACAAACGUCCCCUCCCACCUCUCCCUCUCCAAACUCUUUCAUGUUAUACCCAAAUAAGGCUUUCUCUCUACGUAUUUGCCCGAUGUAUACGUACGCGCUUUGGACAGCUUAAUGAAGACGUGGAUUCUCAAUUGGCCAGAACGCAUGGCGAGAUGUGACGUGCAGCUGCACUCAGUCUAAUAGGAUUCUAUAGCUCGUGCCAAUGCGGACAGACAAACCUAGCCAGAGUCUCACUCGGGGAGAAGGAGAGAGACACAGAGAGAGAGAGGGAGUGGGAGAGAGAGUGGGAGAGAGAGUGGGAGAGAGAGAGAGAGAGAGAGAGAGAGAGAGAGAGAGAGAGAGAGAGAGAGAGAGGGAGAGAGAAAUGUAGAGUCCGGCUCGUCCAACACGAGGCCGUGAGUUAGUGUAACUAAUGUU
ensembl:lncRNA